AUGAAACACUCCUACGGGAGGCAGCAGUGGGGAAUCUUCCGCAAUGGACGAAAGUCUGACGGAGCAACGCCGCGUGAGUGAUGACGGCCUUCGGGUUGUAAAGCUCUGUUAAUCGGGACGAAUGGUUCUUGUGCGAAUAGUGCGAGGAUUUGACGGUACCGGAAUAGAAAGCCACGGCUAACUACGUGCCAGCAGCCGCGGUAAUACGUAGGUGGCAAGCGUUGUCCGGAAUUAUUGGGCGUAAAGCGCGCGCAGGCGGAUUGGUCAGUCUGUCUUAAAAGUUCGGGGCUUAACCCCGUGAUGGGAUGGAAACUGCUGAUCUAGAGUAUCGGAGAGGAAAGUGGAAUUCCUAGUGUAGCGGUGAAAUGCGUAGAUAUUAGGAAGAACACCAGUGGCGAAGGCGACUUUCUGGACGAAAACUGACGCUGAGGCGCGAAAGCCAGGGGAGCGAACGGGAUUAGAUACCCUUGUAGUCCGAAGUUC
rnacentral:rRNA from 1 species